rnacentral:rRNA from 1 species
CCUACGGUGGGCUGCAGUGAGGAAUAUUGGUCAAUGGACGCGAGUCUGAACCAGCCAAGUAGCGUGAAGGAUGACUGCCCUAUGGGUUGUAAACUUCUUUUAUAUGGGAAUAAACUCUUCCACGCGUGGCAUUUUGUAUGUACCAUAUGAAUAAGGAUCGGCUAACUCCGUGCCAGCAGCCGCGGUAAUACGGAGGAUCCGAGCGUUAUCCGGAUUUAUUGGGGUUAAAGGGUGCGUAGGUGGAUUGUUAAGUCAGUUGUGAAAGUUUGCGGCUCAACCGUAAAAUUGCAGUUGAAACUGGCAGGCGUGAGUAGAGGAGAGGUGGGCGGAAUGCGUGGUGUAGCGGUGAAAUGCUUAGAGAUCACGAAGAACUCCGAUUGCGAAGGCAGCUCACUGGACUGCAACUGACGCUGAGGCACGAAAGCGUGGGUAUCAAACAGGAUUAGAUACCCGGGUAGUC